GAUGAACGCUGACAGAAUGCUUAACACAUGCAAGUCGAUGGGGAAGUGGUGCUUGCACCCUGGCAACCAUGGCGGACGGGUGAGUAACGCGUAAGGGACUUACCUGCAGGACUGGGAUAACAGGGGGAAACCCCUGACAAGACCGGAUAAUGUCAUGGAGCUGCAUGGCUUUAUGAUGAAAGGAGACGCCUGCGGAGAGCCUUGCGUCCUAUUAGCUAGUUGGUGAGGUAAUGGCUCACCAAGGCGAAGAUAGGUAGCCGGCCUGAGAGGGUGGACGGCCACAAGGGGACUGAGAUACGGCCCUUACUCCUACGGGAGGCAGCAGUGGGGAAUAUUGGACAAUGGGGGCAACCCUGAUCCAGCAAUUCUGUGUGCACGAAGAAGGUUUUCGGAUUGUAAAGUGCUUUCAGCAGGGAAGAAGUAAGUGACGGUACCUGCAGAAGAAGCGACGGCUAAAUACGUG
rnacentral:rRNA from 1 species